UACGUAGGGGGGCAAGCGUUGUCCGGAUUUAUUGGGCGUAAAGGGCGCGUAGGCGGCUCGGCACGUCCGUUGUGAAAUCGCCCGGCUCAACUGGGCGGGGUCAGCGGAUACGGUCGAGCUUGAGCAAGCUAGGGGGCAAUGGAAUUCCCGGUGUAGUGGCGGAAUGCGUAGAUAUCGGGAGGAACACCAGUGGCGAAGGCGGUUGCCUGGAGCUUUGCUGACGCUGAUGCGCGAAAGCGUGGGGAGCGAGUCCGG
rnacentral:rRNA from 1 species